rnacentral:pre_miRNA from 1 species
ACGUGGGUGACCUUUGCUAAGUCCUUACUCGGCCAGGACUGGUCCUAAAUGGGGGUGUGUUUAGGGUUCAUUAUUGGCGUCCCUCUUGGCCCUUCU